rnacentral:rRNA from 1 species
UACGAAGGGUGCAAGCGUUAAUCGGAAUUACUGGGCGUAAAGCGUGCGUAGGCGGUUUCUUAAGUCCGUUGUGAAAGCCCUGGGCUCAACCUGGGAACUGCGAUGGAUACUGAGGAGCUGGAGCACGGUAGAGGCAGAUGGAAUUCCCGGUGUAGCGGUGGAAUGCGUAGAGAUCCGGAAGAACACCGGUGGCGAAGGCGGUCUGCUGGGGUAAUGCUGACACUGAUGCGCGACAGCGUGGGGAGCAAACAGG